rnacentral:rRNA from 1 species
CCUACGGGUGGCAGCAGUAGGGAAUAUUGCUCAAUGGGGAAACCCUGAAGCAGCAACGCCGCGUGGAGGAUGAAGGUUUUCGGAUUGUAAACCCCUUUUGUUAGAGAAGAUAAUGACGGUAACUAACGAAUAAGCACCGGCUAACUCCGCGCCAGCAGCCGCGGUAAUAAGGAGGGUGCCAGGGUUACUCGGAAUCAUUGGGGGUAAAGAGGGCGUAGGCGGGAUGACAAGUCAGAUGUGAAAUCCUAUGGCUUAACCAUAGAACUGCAUUUGAAACUGUUAUUCUAGAGUAUGGGAGAGGUAGGUGGAAUGCUUGGUGUAGGGGUAAAAUCCGUAGAGAUCAAGAGGAAUACUCAUUGCGAAGGCGACCUGCUAGAACAUAACUGACGCUGAUGCGCGAAAGCGUGGGGAGCAAACAGGAUUAGAUACCCUGGUAGUC